ACUCAAAGGAAUUGACGGGGGCCCGCACAAGCGGAGGAACAUGUGGUUUAAUUCGAUGAUACGCGAGGAACCUUACCCGGGCUCGAACGGCUAUAGAAUAAUUCAGAGAUGGAUUAGUCAGCAAUGACUGUAGUCGAGGUGCUGCAUGGUUGUCGUCAGCUCGUGCCGUGAGGUGUCGGCUUAAGUGCCAUAACGAGCGCAACCCUUGUUGUUAGUUGCCAUCGGGUAAAGCCGGGGACUCUAACGAGACUGCCAGCGUAAGCUGUGAGGAAGGGGGGGAUGACGUCAAAUCAGCACGGCCCUUACGUCCGGGGCGACACACGUGUUACAAUGGGGGGUACAGAGGGCCGCUACCCGGCGACGGGAUGCCAAUCUCAAAAACCUCUCUCAGUUCGGAUCGGAGUCUGCAACUCGACUCCGUGAAGUUGGAUUCGCUAGUAAUCGCGCAUCAGCCAUGGCGCGGUGAAUACGUUCCCGGGCCUUGUACACACCGCCCGU
rnacentral:rRNA from 1 species